rnacentral:rRNA from 1 species
CUAGCAUACGAGGAGGCAAUGGUGGGAUACUACCCUGGCUGUAUGACCAUUCUAACCCGCCACGCUUAGCGCGUGGGGAGACAGUGUCAGGUGGGCAGUUUGACUGGGGCGGUCGCCUCCUAAAGAGUAACGGAGGCGCCCAAAGGUUCCCUCAGAAUGGAUGGAAAUCAUUCGCAGAGUGUAAAGGCACAAGGGAGCUUGACUGCGAGACUGACAAGUCGAGCAGGGACGAAAGUCGGGCUUAGUGAUCCGGUG